GAAUAUGAGGGAGAUCUGGCUGUAACAUCUGUCAUCCCAUUGAUAGCCAGGGUUGAUUUGGCUGAUCUGGCUGGCUAGGUGGGUGUCCCCUUCCUCCCUCACCGAUCCAUGUGCAUCCCUCCCGAAGCUGCUAGCUCGGUCAAAGAGGAUGACCUUCCCUGAACAGAGGAGGACCAGUCUUCAGUCAAGGGUAUACGAGUAGCUGUGCUCCCCUGCUUGAACCUCCAAACAAGCUCUCAAGAAUGUAUUUUUACAGAUGGUUGUGUUUUCUUUCAAUUUCCUUAUCAUAUGUUGUAACAUCAAAUAAGGGAAUAUCAGUGGUUAUCA
rnacentral:snRNA from 1 species